GAUGAAGAACGUAGCGAAAUGCGAUAAGUAAUGUGAAUUGCAGAAUUCAGUGAAUCAUCGAAUCUUUGAACGCACAUUGCGCCCCCUGGUAUUCCGGGGGGCAUGCCUGUCCGAGCGUCAUUACAACCCUCAAGCUCAGCUUGGUGUUGGGCCCCGCCGCCCCGGCGGGCCCUAAAGUCAGUGGCGGUGCCGUCCGGCUCCGAGCGUAGUAAUUCUUCUCGCUCUGGAGGUCCGGUCGUGUGCUCGCCAGCAACCCCCAAUUUUUUUCAGGUUGACCUCGGAUCAGGUAGGGAUACCCGCUGAACUUAAGCAUAUCAAUAGCGGAGGA
rnacentral:misc_RNA from 1 species